AGAGUUUGAUCCUGGCUCAGAACGAACGCUGGCGGCGUGCUUAACACAUGCAAGUCGCACGAGAAAGUCCUCGGGAUGAGUAGAGUGGCGCACGGGUGAGUAAUACAUGGGAACGUACCUUCGGGUGGGGGAUAACCACGGGAAACUGUGGCUAAUACCGCAUAGCCUCGCAAGAGUAAAGAUGGCCUCUAUUUAUAAGC
rnacentral:rRNA from 1 species